AUUGUCUUGGGUAAUAAGUAUGACCUGGGUAGGUGAUUGUCUUGGGUAAUAAGUAUGACCUGGGUAGGUGAUUGUCUUGGGUAAUAAGUAUGACCUGGGUAGGUGAUUGUCUUGGGUAAUAAGUAUGACCUGGGUAGGUGAUUGUCUUGGGUAAUAAGUAUGACCUGGGUAGGUGAUUGUCUUGGGUAAUAAGUAUGACCUGGGUAGGUGAUUGUCUUGGGUAAUAAGUAUGACCUGGGUAGGUUAUUGUCUUGGGUAAUAAGUAUGACCUGGGUCUUGGGUAAUAAGUAUGACCUGGGUAGGUGAUUGUCUUGGGUAAUAAGUAUGACCUGGGUCUUGGGUAAUAAGUAUGACCUGGGUAGGUGAUUGUCUUGGGUAAUAAGUAUGACCUGGGUCUUGGGUAAUAAGUAUGACCUGGGUAGGUGAUUGUCUUG